UACGUAGGGGGCUAGCGUUAUCCGGAUUUACUGGGCGUAAAGCGUGCGUAGGCGGCUUUUCAAGUCGGAGGUGAAAGCCUACGGCUCAACCGUAGUAAGCCUCAGAAACUGGAAGACUUGAGUGCAGGAGAGGAAAGUGGAAUUCCCAGUGUAGCGGUGAAAUGCGUAGAUAUUGGGAAGAACACCAGUAGCGAAGGCGGCUUUCUGGACUGUAACUGACACUGAGGCACGAAAGCGUGGGGAGCAAACAGG
rnacentral:rRNA from 1 species